rnacentral:rRNA from 1 species
UACGAAGGGGGCUAGCGUUGUUCGGAAUUACUGGGCGUAAAGCGUAUGCAGGCGGAUCGUUAAGUCGGGGGUGAAAUCCCGAGGCUCAACCUCGGAACUGCCUUCGAUACUGGCGACCUUCGAGUCCGGGAGAGGUGAGUGGAUCUCCGAGUGUAGAGGUGAAAUUCGUAGAUAUUCGGAAGAACACCAGUGGCGAAGGCGGCUCACUGGCCCGGUACUGACGCUGAGAUACGAAAGCGUGGGGAGCAAACAGG